GACGCCUCCAAUCUAGCCCACUUCUUACUUCCCAUUCCCUUAUUUUUACCCAUUAACUAAAACAUUCGUAACCUCAAGUAAAUGCGAUUGAAAAAGAAUCUGAAGCUAUAAAACUAGUACCGCAAGGGAAAGAUGAAAUAGAAAUUAAAUAACUAUUUAAGCAUAAAAUAGCAAAGAUAUAAACUUGUACCUUUCGCAUCAUGGUCUAACAAGUCCAACCAGGCAAAAAGAUUUUUAGUCUGAUUUCCCGAAACUAAGUGAGCUACUCCGAGAUAACUUAGGUAAACCCGUCUCUGUGGCAAAAGAGUGGGACAAUCUCCGAGUAGAAGUGAUAUACCAAUCGAACUUAGUGAUAGCUGGUUACUCAAGAAAAGGAUAUUAGUUCUAUCUCAAGAAUUUUUGGCAAGUAUAAACACACUAAGCAAUUUUAACUUCCUGAGACCUAUUCAAUCAGGGUACAGCCUUAUUGAAAAAGGAUACAACCUAAAACCCUGGUUAACGAUUAUUUAUUUCCGACCAAGUUGGCCUAAGAGCAGCCAUCUUUAAAAAAGCGUCAAAGCUUUCCCUUUCCACCUCCCCCCAAUUCCAUUUAUUAUCCAGAACCCGGCACCAGUAUUGAGUCCUCCUAUACUUCUAUAGAAGAGUUAAUGUUAGAACUAGUAACGUAGAAUCUCUUCUCCCCAUGUAAGUGUAAAUCAGAUCGAAUAAUUCACUGAUAACUACACGGCAAUGAAAUUAAUGUAGUAACAUUUUCCCGAAAACCCUACGAUUUUUCCCGUUAACCUAACACAAGAACAUUUAAGAAAGAUUAAAAGAUAAAGAAGGAACUCGGCAAAACAAGUCCCGCCUGUUUACCAAAAACAUCACCUCUUGUAAACUAUAUGAGGCAAUGCCUGCCCAGUGACCACAAAUUCAACGGCCGCAGUAUUUUAACCGCGCGAAGGUAGCGUAAUCACUUGUUUUUUAAAUAAAGACUAGUAUGAACGGCCACACGAGGACUUAACUGUCUCCUUUAUCCAAUCAGUGAAACUGAUCCCCCCGUGAAGAAGCGGGGAUAACAUCAUAAGACGAGAAGACCCUAUGGAGCUUUAAACCUAAUCAACUAUCUCUUUAUUUCCAAGGAACUAAUUAUUAUUAAGAUAUUAUUGAUAUUGGUUUUUGGUUGGGGCGACCAUGAAGAAAAAAUAAACCUUCCUGACGACUCAUAAACCAAGAGCAACAGCUCUAAAUAUUAAGACACUUAACCAUCAUUGACCCAUUUUAUGAUCAACGAACCAAGUUACCCUAGGGAUAACAGCGCAAUCCAUUUUAAGAGUCCCUAUCGACAAAUGGGUUUACGACCUCGAUGUUGGAUCAGGGCACCCAAG
rnacentral:rRNA from 1 species